AGAGUUUGAUCAUGGCUCAGAACGAACGCUGGCGGCAGGCCUAACACAUGCAAGUCGAGCGCCCCGCAAGGGGAGCGGCAGACGGGUGAGUAACGCGUGGGAAACUACCCAGUGGUGCGGAACAACCAAGGGAAACUUUGGCUAAUACCGCAUGUGCCCUUCGGGGGAAAGAUUUAUCGCCAUUGGAUGUGCCCGCGUCGGAUUAGCUAGUUGGUGAGGUAACGGCUCACCAAGGCGACGAUCCGUAGCUGGUCUGAGAGGAUGAUCAGCCACACUGGGACUGAGACACGGCCCAGACUCCUACGGGAGGCAGCAGCCAGGAAUCUUGGGCAAUGGGCGAAAGCCUGACCCAGCAACACCGUGUGGGUGACGAAGGCCUUAGGGUCGUAAAGCCCUGUUGAUAGGGACGAAGGGCGAAGGGUUAAUAGCCCCUAGCUUGACGGUACCUUUCGAGGAAGCCCCGGCUAACUACGUGCCAGCAGCCGCGGUAAUACGUAGGGGGCGAGCGUUGUCCGGAAUUAUUGGGCGUAAAGAGCGUGUAGGCGGUUCGGUAAGUCUGCUGUGAAAUCCUGGGGCUCAACCCCCGGGCGUGCAGCGGAUACUGCCGGGCUAGAGGAUGGUAGAGGCGAGUGGAAUUCCGAGUGUAGCGGUGAAAUGCGCAGAUAUUCGGAGGAACACCAGUAGCGAAGGCGGCUCGCUGGGCCAUUCCUGACGCUGAGACGCGAAAGCGUGGGGAGCGAACAGGAUUAGAUACCCCGGUAGUCC
rnacentral:rRNA from 1 species